GGUUGAUCCUGCCAGUAGUCAUAUGCUUGUCUCAAAGAUUAAGCCAUGCAUGUCUAAGUAUAAGCAAUCUAUACCGUGAAACUGCGAAUGGCUCAUUAAAUCAGUUAUCGUUUAUUUGAUAGUACCUUACUACUUGGAUAACCGUGGUAAUUCUAGAGCUAAUACAUGCUAAAAACCCCGACUUCGGAAGGGGUGUAUUUAUUAGAUAAAAAACCAAUGCCCUUCGGGGCUCCUUGGUGAUUCAUAAUAACUUAACGAAUCGCAUGGCCUUGUGCCGGCGAUGGUUCAUUCAAAUUUCUGCCCUAUCAACUUUCGAUUGUAGAGUAGUGGUCUACAAUGGUUUCAACGGGUAACGGGGAAUUAGGGUUCUAUUCCGGAGAGGGAGCCUGAGAAACGGCUACCACAUCCAAGGAAGGCAGCAGGCGCGCAAAUUACCCAAUCCCGACACGGGGAGGUAGUGACAAUAAAUACUGAUACAGGGCUCUUUUGGGUCUUGUAAUUGGAAUGAGUACAAUUUAAAUCCCUUAACGAGGAACAAUUGGAGGGCAAGUCUGGU
rnacentral:rRNA from 1 species